GACGAACGCUGGCGGCGUGCUUAACACAUGCAAGUCGAACGGAGUGGCGAACGGGUGAGUCACACGUGGGUGAUCUGCCUUGCACUUCGGGAUAAGCUUGGGAAACUGGGUCUAAUACCGGAUAUUGCAAGAUGAGUUCGCGGCCUAUCAGCGUUUUGGUGGGGUACUGGCCUACCAAGGCGUCGACGGGUAGCCGGCCUGAGAGGGUGUACGGCCACGUUGGGACGGAGAGACGGCCCAGACUCCUACGGGAGGCAGCAGUGUGGAAUAUUGCACAAUGGGCGGAAGCCUGAUGCAGCGACGCCGCGUGGGGGAUGAAGGCCUUCGGGUUGUAAACUCCUUUCGACAGGGACGCGGUACCUGGAUAAGAAGCACCGGAUAGCUACGUGCCAGCAGCCGCGGUAAUUC
rnacentral:rRNA from 1 species